UAUGUGAUCGUCUCUCGCAUAUCAAUAAGCGGAGGAAAAGAAACUAACAAGGAUUCCCCUAGUAACGGCGAGUGAAGCGGGAAGAGCUCAAAUUUGAAAUCUUAAAGGGUUUCCCUUUACGAAUUGUAGUUUAAAGAAGUGUUUUCUGUUGAGGUUUUGGUAAAAGUUCUUUGGAAUAGGACAUCAUAGAGGGUGAGAAUCCCGUAUUUGACCUUUACUUUCAACUUUGUGAUACACUUUCAAAGAGUCGGAUUGUUUGGGAAUGCAGUCCAAAAUGGGUGGUAAAUUUCAUCUAAAGCUAAAUAUUGGCGAGAGACCGAUAGCGAACAAGUACCGUGAGGGAAAGAUGAAAAGAACUUUGAAAAGAGAGUUAAACAGUACGUGAAAUUGUCAAAAGGGAAGCGUUUGACACCAGUGUUGUUUUUUCCGAAAAUCAAUUAAAAAUUGAUUCAUGCCAGGUUGCAUUGACCUUAUCAGCUUGCAAUUUGGUUUUGGGUCUCUUUUUGAUGCACUUUUCGGUUAACAAGUCAGCAUCAAUUUCCUUUGCUGUAAAAAGGUAAGAGGAAGGUGGCUUCAAUUUCGGUUGAAGUGUUUAUAGCCUUGUGCCUCUGCAAUCGGAGAGAUUGAGGUCCGCAGCGUAGAUCCUUCGGGGUUAGAUACGUUUGUGCUAAGUUAUAGCUUUUCAUAGACAACUUGUUGACUAUGUUUAGUCUUGUAGCUUACUCGCUGACGCUAUUUUACCUACGCUUAGGAUGUUGAGCGCAUGUCUCCUCU
rnacentral:rRNA from 1 species